rnacentral:rRNA from 1 species
CCACGGGAGGCAGCAGUAGGGAAUAUUGCGCAAUGGAGGGAACUCUGACGCAGCGACGCCGCGUGAGCGAUGAAGGUUUUCGGAUCGUAAAGCUCUGUCCUUGGGGAAGAAGGGUGCGAAGCAUCUUGACGGUACCUAAGGAGGAAGCCCCGGCUAACUACGUGCCAGCAGCCGCGGUAAUACGUAGGGGGCAAGCGUUGUCCGGAAUUAUUGGGCGUAAAGGGUGCGUAGGCGGCCUUUUAAGUCAGAUGUGAAAGACCACGGCUUAACCGUGGGGUUGCAUUUGAAACUGGAGGGCUUGAGUAUCGGAGAGGGUAGUGGAAUUCCCAGUGUAGCGGUGGAAUGCGUAGAUAUUGGGAGGAACACCAGUGGCGAAGGCGACUACCUGGACGAAAACUGACGCUGAGGCACGAAAGCUAGGGGAGCAAACAGGAUUAGAUACCCUGGUAGUCCUAGCCGUAAACGAUGGGUACUAGGUGUAGGAGGUUUCGAUACCUUCUGUGCCGCAGUUAACGCAAUAAGUACCCCGCCUGGGGAGUACGUGCGCAAGCAUGAAACUCAAAGGAAUUGACGGGGGCCCGCACAAGCGGUGGAGCAUGUGGUUUAAUUCGAAGCAACGCGAAGAACCUUACCAGGUCUUGACAUCCCUUGACCACCUCAGAGAUGAGGUUUCUCUUCGGAGCAAGGAGACAGGUGGUGCAUGGUUGUCGUCAGCUCGUGUCGUGAGAUGUUGGGUUAAGUCCCGCAACGAGCGCAACCCUUGCCUUUAGUUGCCAUCAUUAAGUUGGGCACUCUAGA